CCAGACUCCUACGGGAGGCAGCAGUGAGGAAUAUUGGUCAAUGGGCGGGAGCCUGAACCAGCCAAGUCGCGUGAGGGAAGACGGUUCUAUGGAUUGUAAACCUCUUUAGGCGGGGAGCAAUGCCGGGCACGCGUGCCCGGAGGGAGAGUACCCGCAGAAUAAGCAUCGGCUAACUCCGUGCCAGCAGCCGCGGUAAUACGGAGGAUCCGAGCGUUAUCCGGAUUUAUUGGGUUUAAAGGGUGCGUAGGCGGCCUUUUAAGUCAGCGGUGAAAGUCUGUGGCUCAACCAUAGAAUUGCCGUUGAAACUGGGGGGCUUGAGUAUGUUUGAGGCAGGCGGAAUGCGUGGUGUAGCGGUGAAAUGCAUAGAUAUCACGCAGAACCCCGAUUGCGAAGGCAGUCUGCCAAGCCAUGACUGACGCUGAUGCACGAAAGCGUGGGGAUCGAACAGGAUUAGAUACCCCAGUAA
rnacentral:rRNA from 1 species